CUCACCCUGCUCUGUGUCUAGAAGAGAGCUGAACACGCAGUAGAACACAAUAAAUUAUAUUCAAAUGGCAGUCAAGGAGGAAACUUUUCUUCCUCAUCAACAAAGCUGAUCGAUGGGGGCUGAAGCCCCAGGGAAGAAGCAUCUGUUGUAACUCAAGGAUCCCGGCUUGAGCUGAGGAUGGAAUUAACAGGCACAGAGUGGUUGGCAGCCCAACGUUUGUGCAAGUCUGGCACAUGCACACAUCAUUAGCAACUAUGCUGGAGAAGAAUGAUCAAGGAGGUGAGGAGGGGAAUGGAUCUGAUUAAAGGGAUGUUCAAGAAAGGAAAUUCCAAGCACUUGGGUAAAAGCUUCAUAGCUAAAAUGAAUGAACUCGUGAGCAAAGCAAACAGCCAGGUACAUUUGGGAGAUGCUGACAGACAAUCUGGAUAAUUUUGCCUCUGAAACUUUCAAAACAAAGUCAUUUCAUGCAGUGAA
rnacentral:lncRNA from 1 species